rnacentral:rRNA from 1 species
UACGUAGGGUGCGAGCGUUGUCCGGAAUUAUUGGGCGUAAAGAGCUUGUAGGCGGUCUGUCGCGUCUGCUGUGAAAAUCCGGGGCUCAACCCCGGACUUGCAGUGGGUACGGGCAGACUAGAGUGUGGUAGGGGAGACUGGAAUUCCUGGUGUAGCGGUGAAAUGCGCAGAUAUCAGGAGGAACACCAAUGGCGAAGGCAGCUCUCUGGGACGGUACUGACGCUGAGACGCGAAAGCGUGGGGAGCGAACAGG